AAUAAUCUUAUUUUUCGUUUUUCCGUGUUUAACGUUUGACCAUUCAUCUUAUUUGAAAAAUUUAUAAAAAACUUAAAAAAAUUAGUCACACGUAAAGUAUUAUUCAUGUUUUAUCAUGUAGUAAGAAUAAAAAUAUUAAUCGCAGAUUUUUUUAAAUAAGACGAAUGGUCAAACGUUGGACACGGAAAAAC
rfam:Oryza brachyantha chromosome 2, whole genome shotgun sequence.